rnacentral:rRNA from 1 species
UACGUAGGGUGCGAGCGUUGUCCGGAAUUAUUGGGCGUAAAGAGCUCGUAGGCGGUUUGUCGCGUCGGCCGUGAAAUCUCCACGCUUAACGUGGAGCGUGCGGUCGAUACGGGCAGACUUGAGUUCGGUAGGGGAGACUGGAAUUCCUGGUGUAGCGGUGAAAUGCGCAGAUAUCAGGAGGAACACCGGUGGCGAAGGCGGGUCUCUGGGCCGAUACUGACACUGAGGAGCGAAAGCGUGGGGAGCGAACAGG